UGGUCCGGAGAGCGAGCCGCCGAGCGCAUCGCAUCGCAUCGCAUCGGAGCCUAGCGCUCCGGCCGGGUCCGAGGCCAGGGCGCCUGGGCGCAGGGGGCAGCGGACAGCGGAGGGGGCGCGGAGCGCGCGGCGGCGGGCCGGGACCAUGGGGGAGACCAAGAUCAUCUACCACCUGGACGGCCAGGAGACGCCGUACCUGGUGAAGCUGCCCCUGCCCGCCGAGCGCGUCACCCUGGCCGACUUCAAGGCCGUCCUGCAGCGGCCCACCUACAAGUUCUUCUUCAAGUCUAUGGACGACGACUUCGGGGUGGUGAAAGAAGAGAUCUCUGAUGACAACGCGAGGCUCCCCUGUUUCAAUGGCCGGGUGGUGUCCUGGCUGGUGUCAGCAGAGGGCUCACAUCCUGAGCCUGGCUCCUUCUGCCCUGACAAUCCUUCUGAGCUGCCGCCCCCCAUGGAACGCACGGGUGGCAUUGGGGACUCCCGGCCUCCCUCCUUCCACCCUCACACUGGUGGGGGGAGCCAGGAGAACCUGGACAAUGACACUGAGACUGAUUCCCUGGUGUCUGCGCAGCAGGAGCGGCCCCGACGGAGGGAUGGGCCAGAACAUGUGGCCCGGAUGAACGGCACAGCCAAAGGUGAGCGGAGGAGGGAGCCUGGGGGUUAUGACAGCUCUUCUACCCUCAUGAGCAGUGAGCUGGAAACCACGAGUUUCUUCGACUCUGAUGAGGAUGAUUCUACCAGCAGGUUCAGCAGUUCCACAGAACAGAGCAGCGCAUCCCGCCUCAUGAGGAGACACAAGCGGCGUCGGCGGAAACAGAAGGUGGCCCGGAUAGAGCGGUCCUCGUCCUUCAGCAGCAUCACCGACUCCACCAUGUCCCUCAACAUUAUCACCGUCACGCUCAACAUGGAGAAGUACAACUUCCUGGGCAUCUCCAUUGUGGGCCAGAGCAACGAACGGGGUGAUGGGGGCAUCUACAUUGGCUCUAUCAUGAAGGGUGGAGCUGUGGCUGCUGAUGGACGGAUUGAGCCAGGGGACAUGCUCCUACAGGUAAAUGACAUCAAUUUUGAGAACAUGAGUAACGAUGAUGCUGUCCGAGUACUUCGAGAAAUUGUGCACAAACCAGGGCCUAUCACCCUGACAGUGGCCAAGUGCUGGGACCCCAGCCCCCGAGGCUGCUUCACCCUGCCCAGGAGUAAGUGGAUGGGGGAGUCGUCCUUAAAGCUGGUGCCUGGCACAUGUGAGCCGAUCCGCCCCAUUGACCCUGCAGCCUGGGUGUCCCACACAGCAGCAAUGACGGGGACCUUCCCAGCCUAUGGCAUGAGCCCCUCCCUCAGCACCAUCACAUCUACCAGUUCCUCCAUCGCCAGCUCCAUCCCUGACACUGAGCGCCUCGAUGACUUUCACCUGUCCAUCCACAGCGACAUGGCCACUAUAGUUAAAGCUAUGGCUUCCCCUGAGUCUGGGCUGGAGGUCCGAGACCGUAUGUGGCUCAAGAUCACCAUCCCCAACGCCUUCAUUGGUUCAGAUGUAGUGGACUGGUUGUACCACAACGUGGAGGGCUUCACGGACCGGCGCGAGGCUCGGAAAUAUGCCAGCAACCUGCUGAAAGCCGGCUUCAUCCGUCACACAGUCAACAAAAUCACUUUCUCAGAGCAGUGCUAUUAUAUCUUCGGCGACCUCUGUGGCAACAUGGCUAACUUGUCCCUGCACGACCAGGACGGCUCCAGUGGGGCCUCGGACCAAGACACGCUGGCUCCUCUCCCACACCCCGGGGCUGCCCCGUGGCCCAUGGCCUUCCCUUACCAGUACCCACCCCCCCCACAUCCCUAUAACCCCCACCCUGGCUUCCCUGAGCCAGGGUAUAGCUACGGCGGUGGGGGCAGUGCAGGCAGCCAGCAUAGUGAAGGCAGCCGGAGCAGUGGCUCCAACCGCAGCGGCAGCGACCGGCGGAAGGAGAAGGACCCAAAGGCCGGGGACUCCAAGUCAGGGGGCAGCGGGAGCGAGUCAGACCACACAAGCCGAAGCAGCCUGAGGCGGGAGCGAGCCCCCAGCGAGCGCUCGGGCCCAGCCGCCAGCGAGCACAGCGUCCGCAGCCACCACUCGCUGGCCCACAGCCUGCGCAGCCACCACACACACCAGUCCUACGGGCCCCCAGGGGUGCCCCCGCUGUACGGCCCGCCCGUGCUGAUGAUGCCCCCUCCGCCCGCUGCCAUGGGGCCCCCGGGAGCCCCCCCGGGCCGAGACCUGGCCUCAGUGCCCCCAGAACUGACCGCCAGCAGACAGUCCUUCCGCAUGGCCAUGGGAAACCCCAGUGAGUUCUUUGUGGAUGUGAUGUGAGCGGUUCCUUCGCUUCUCUGGCCCCGCCCCGUCCCCCAGGCCCCAGGGCUGGUGCCGUCACCAGUCAGCUCUUUUUACUUGUCUGCCAAGAAUUUCGGGCUUUUUGACUUUCUCUGAGCACCCAGCGUGGGGAGGCCCCGAUCCUGAGGAGACCAGGAGUCCCGCCCCUCCCGCUGCAGCCACAGUUGUAGCCCCUCAGGGCUCCCCGAAGAUGUCCUGUCCUACUGCCCCAUGACCCCCAGGGUCCCUCCUCCCCUCCCACUCAUCCCAAGACGGGUUGCACACCUCAGCCUCUCGAAGUCUGGCUGGAGCUCAAGGGUACCCUGUCUUGGACACUCUUCUCCAGGGCCUAGACAAUUUUCACACGUGACUCUGACCCAGGGCUGGUCCCCUCGGCUACCCUCUUUCCUCAUGCUAUCCUAGGCUCCGGGGCUGGCCCUGACCCCCUACCCCCUAACUCAGCCUCCAGUGAAACCCCCGACAUCUUCACUCCCCACAAUUGCCUUUCAGGCCCCAAUAAGGGCCUAAUUCUUCCCUUCUUACUCCCCAGAGGCCCUCCCUUCUGGGCUGGAAUCCCAGCAGCCUUCUUGGCUUCCCCUCCACCCUCCCUGCUACAGAGCAGGGCCUGAGAGCCCACCUGCCAGCUAGAUUCAGGCUGUACCCUGGGGUCUCUGGCCCUUUCCCACCUUCAGGUUCUUUCGCUAUGUAUGGAUCUUGGUCAUUUCUCCAAUAAAUGCUCCCAGGUACCACA